rnacentral:rRNA from 1 species
AGAGUUUGAUCAUGGCUCAGAUUGAACGCUGGCGGCAGGCCUAACACAUGCAAGUCGAACGGUAACAGGAAGCAGCUUGCUGCUUUGCUGACGAGUGGCGGACGGGUGAGUAAUGUCUGGGAAACUGCCUGAUGGAGGGGGAUAACUACUGGAAACGGUGGCUAAUACCGCAUAAUGUCGCAAGACCAAAGAGGGGGACCUUAGGGCCUCUUGCCAUCAGAUGUGCCCAGAUGGGAUUAGCUUGUUGGUGAGGUAACGGCUCACCAAGGCGACGAUCCCUAGCUGGUCUGAGAGGAUGACCAGCCACACUGGAACUGAGACACGGUCCAGACUCCUACGGGAGGCAGCAGUGGGGAAUAUUGCACAAUGGGCGCAAGCCUGAUGCAGCCAUGCCGCGUGUAUGAAGAAGGCCUUCGGGUUGUAAAGUACUUUCAGCGGGGAGGAAGGUGUUGUGGUUAAUAACCACAGCAAUUGACGUUACCCGCAGAAGAAGCACCGGCUAACUCCGUGCCAGCAGCCGCGGUAAUACGGAGGGUGCAAGCGUUAAUCGGAAUUACUGGGCGUAAAGCGCACGCAGGCGGUCUGUCAAGUCGGAUGUGAAAUCCCCGGGCUCAACCUGGGAACUGCAUUCGAAACUGGCAGGCUUGAGUCUUGUAGAGGGGGGUGGAAUUCCAGGUGUAGCGGUGAAAUGCGUAGAGAUCUGGAGGAAUACCGGUGGCGAAGGCGACCCCCUGGACAAAGACUGACGCUCAGGUGCGAAAGCGUGGGGAGCAAACAGGAUUAGAUACCCUGGUAGUCCACGCCGUAAACGAUGUCUACUUGGAGGUUGUGCCCUUGAGGCGUGGCUUCCGGAGCUAACGCGUUAAGUAGACCGCCUGGGGAGUACGGCCGCAAGGUUAAAACUCAAAUGAAUUGACGGGGGCCCGCACAAGCGGUGGAGCAUGUGGUUUAAUUCGAUGCAACGCGAAGAACCUUACCUGGUCUUGACAUCCACGGAAGUUUUCAGAGAUGAGAAUGUGCCUUCGGGAACCGUGAGACAGGUGCUGCAUGGCUGUCGUCAGCUCGUGUUGUGAAAUGUUGGGUUAAGUCCCGCAACGAGCGCAACCCUUAUCCUUUGUUGCCAGCGAUUAGGUCGGGAACUCAAAGGAGACUGCCAGUGAUAAACUGGAGGAAGGUGGGGAUGACGUCAAGUCAUCAUGGCCCUUACGACCAGGGCUACACACGUGCUACAAUGGCGCAUACAAAGAGAAGCGACCUCGCGAGAGCAAGCGGACCUCAUAAAGUGCGUCGUAGUCCGGAUUGGAGUCUGCAACUCGACUCCAUGAAGUCGGAAUCGCUAGUAAUCGUGGAUCAGAAUGCCACGGUGAAUACGUUCCCGGGCCUUGUACACACCGCCCGUCACACCAUGGGAGUGGGUUGCAAAAGAAGUAGGUAGCUUAACCUUCGGGAGGGCGCUUACCACUUUGUGAUUCAUGACUGGGGUGAAGUCGUAACAAGGUAACCGUAGGGGAACCUGCGGUUGGAUCACCU